UACAGAGGUCUCAAGCGUUGUUCGGAUUCAUUGGGCGUAAAGGGUGCGUAGGCGGCGGGGCAAGUCGGAUGUGAAAUCUCAGGGCUCAACCCUGAAACUGCAUUCGAUACUGCUCUGCUCGAGGACUGGAGAGGAGAUUGGAAUUCACGGUGUAGCAGUGAAAUGCGUAGAUAUCAGGAGGAACACCGGUGGCGAAGGCGGGUCUCUGGGCCGAUACUGACGCUGAGGAGCGAAAGCGUGGGGAGCGAACAGG
rnacentral:rRNA from 1 species